rnacentral:lncRNA from 1 species
GAGGUCAAGGUUCACCAGAUCUCCCAACAACCCCCGAAUCAUAAAAAUAAAAUUGAACGAAUGGGAUUUGGGAAUGAUUUUGAACCCUUUUCUCUCAUUCAGUGGGAUUGCUGAAGACAUCGAAGGGCAGGGAUAGGCAAUGCUCCCAAAAGUUGGUCAGUUUGGUCUGAGAGAGAAGAAAACUUUUGGUGUGUCUGUCGUCUUGACUAGAUGUCCAAGUGUCUUCUGUCUCAUACAACUAAUCAUCAAAUCUAUGAAACCAACUUUGGAAGUCAAAAAGAAUUUGAGACAGCUCUCUCUCAGAAGUUAUUGUUUAUAAAUAGGAGAAAGUAUAUAAAUUCUUUUGUUAAAUUUAGGACAAGUUAUUGGGUUGUCCGGAAAGUUCAUGCGUUUUUUUUAGUUGUUAAUUGGUGGCGCUAGAGUACUAAAAACGUGCAAGUUAUUAUUUAGUUUAGUUGUGUCCUUGAAAGAUGACACUGUAACUGUCAUAAAAAUUUGUUUUGUCAGAAUAAAGACUACAAACU